AAGUCGUAACAAGGUUUCCGUAGGUGAACCUGCGGAAGGAUCAUUAAAGAGCUAAAUUAAAGACUCUGUGCACCAAAAUAAAUGCCCGACAGUACAGUAGUGAUGAAAUAAUAAUACAACUUUUAGCAACGGAUCUCUAGGUUCUC
rnacentral:misc_RNA from 1 species